GCCUCUGUAGCUCAGCUGGUUAGAGCGCUGCACCGGAAUCGCUGGGUCGCAGGUUCGAUCCUUGCCAGAGGGC